GUAGUCCACGCCGUAAACGAUGAUCACUCGCUGUUUGCGAUACACAGUAAGCGGCUGAGCGAAAGCAUUAAGUGAUCCACCUGGGGAGUACGAUCGCAAGGUUGAAACUCAAAGGAAUUGACGGGGGCCCGCACAAGCGGAGGAACAUGUGGUUUAAUUCGAUGAUACGCGAGGAACCUUACCUGGGCUUAAAUGUAGAUUGCAUAGAUUGGAAACAGUCUUUCUCUUCGGAGCUAUUUACAAGGUGCUGCAUGGUUGUCGUCAGCUCGUGCCGUGAGGUGUCGGGUUAAGUCCCAUAACGAGCGCAACCCCUAUCGUUAGUUGCUAGCAGGUAAUGCUGAGGACUCUAGCGAGACUGCCACCGUAAGGUGAGAGGAAGGUGGGGAUGACGUCAAAUCAGCACGGCCCUUAUGUCCAGGGCUACACACGUGUUACAAUGGUCGGUACAAAGGGCAGCUACCUGGUGACAGGAUGCCAAUCCCUAAAGCCGAUCCCAGUUCGGAUUGGAGUCUGCAACCCGACUCCAUGAAGUUGGAUUCGCUAGUAAUCGGAUAUCAGCCAUGAUCCGGUGAAUACGUUCCCGGGCCUUGUACACACCGCCCGUCAAACCAUGGAAGCUGGGGGUACCUGAAGUAUGUGACCGCAAGGAGCGUCCUAGGGUAAAACUGGUAACUGGGGUU
rnacentral:rRNA from 1 species